rnacentral:lncRNA from 1 species
UUUAAAUGUUAUGAUUACUGGAUGUUCAUCAUUUCAUCAAUCAAACAUUAAUACUGGCAGGAUACAGGUGCUGUUUCCUCCAGUCAGGAUGGGAUCUCUGCAGCAGAGGUGGAGCUGAGAGUCAGACCAGGAGACAACGUUGUUCUUCACUGUGAUGUCAAACACCAUGAUAAAACACAUUGGCAUAGAAACAGCUCCAUUGAGAAUGUGGGUAAUUUCAGUGUUUCAAACCAGGAAAUAAUGGACAAUCCUGUCCCUCGCUUCUAUUUCCUGUGGCGUUCUCAAAAGUUCUGGGAUCUGCUGAUUGAGAAUGUGACUGAAUCUGACCUGGGACUCUACUACUGUGGGAGCUGGAAGAAGAAGUUGUUGAACUUUGAAGGGGUUAGCGAUACAGUAGAAACGUUCAUAUCUAACAAUGGAAAAGUCAACACCAGACUUUCAUUUG